ACGACUACAUAUCAGGCAUAUCAAUAAGCGGAGGAAAAGAAACUAACUAAGGAUUCCCUCAGUAACGGCGAGUGAAGCGGGAAGAGCUCAAAUUUGAAAUCUUCAAGGUUUUACCUUGACGAAUUGUAGUUUAAAGAAGUGUUUUCUGUUGAAGUUUUGGUAAAAGUUCUUUGGAAUAGGACAUCAUAGAGGGUGAGAAUCCCGUAUUUGACCAUUAUUUUCCAGCUGUGUGAUACACUUUCAAAGAGUCGGAUUGUUUGGGAAUGCAGUCCAAAAUGGGUGGUAAAUUUCAUCUAAAGCUAAAUAUUGGCGAGAGACCGAUAGCGAACAAGUACCGUGAGGGAAAGAUGAAAAGAACUUUGAAAAGAGAGUUAAACAGUACGUGAAAUUGUCAAAAGGGAAGCGUUUGACACCAGUGUUGUUUUCUCGAAAAUCAAUUAAAAAAAGUUGGAUUUUGUGUUGUAUUGACCUUAACAGCUUGCUUCACUCUUUUCCAGCUUUUUUUAAUGCACUUCUCGUUUAACAAGUCAACAUCAGUUUCUUUUGUUGUAAAAGGGUCAUUGGAAGGUGGCUUUCUCUUCGGAGAAAGUGUUUAUAGCCUUUGAUCUCCGCAAUCGGAGAGACUGAGGUCUGCAGCGUAGAUCCUUCGGGAUUAGAUACAUUUGUGCUAAGCCUACAGCUUUUCAUAGACAACUUGUUGACUAUGUUUAGUCUUGUAACUUACCCGCUUAUGCUAUUUUACCUACGCUUAGGAUGUUGAGCGCAUGUCUCUCUCU
rnacentral:rRNA from 1 species